ACCGUUGCUCAGGGCAACAACUCAUAUAACGCCUUCACGUCUCUUUAAUUCGGCCCGAUUCGUUCAGUGAGCAGCUGUGUAGCUACUUAUGUUUUAUGCCAACUACUGAUGGACAGCGGAGAGAGGCCCCAUCUUCAUUCUCCUCACGCCAGUCCGGUCGGUCCAGCGUCCGUCUGAAACAUGACUAUGAAGGAAAUAAACCAGGUCAUCUCUGAGCUAAAAAAGGAAAACUUCAAUCUGAAACUUCGUGUAUUCUUCUGCGAGGACAGCCUCCAGCGGCAGAGUGGCGGACCUGCUGGGGAGGCCGACGUCCGCCGCACGGUACGUAGUUAACAUAGGCCUACAUACAUAAAAGAGACACUGCCUCGACCCGGUACGGCCACUGGGCCGCCAAAUUGAGGAGGCCGAGACUGGCCUAACGAUUAAUAUUGACCUGCAGGUGGAGGUAGAGAUGCUGAGAGAGCACGUUAAGAAGCUACAGAAGGCCUUGUCUGAAUCGCAAGAACAAACGCGACGUCAGACACCUGAAUCCAACAGACGAAUUUCAAAACUGGAGAAGGAUUUACUGGUAGGGUACAAGAAAGAGCCGGAAGAAAAAUACGCAUUGGUUGAGCUCAGAAUGAAGGACCUGGAGACCGGCAAUCUGAACCUGGAAGCUCAAUUGCAAGAAAAAUCUCAAGUUGUACUGGCCUUGGAGAAGGAGCUGGAAAACGAGAAACUAAAAUGCGGCGCUAGACUCAAUGAAGUUCAAGAUGAGUUGGCUGAGUGUUUGUCCGAAAAAGAUUUUCUACUGUCCGAGAAAGAGGUCGUAGCGGAGGCGCAUGAAGACACCAUCAAGUCCCUGACAUGCAGGCUAAAGCAACACAAAUGUGUGUGUAUUGAAAAAACUGGCGGUGUGCAACAAGAGCAGCUGAAAGACAUUGAUGAGCUCCUGGAUGAAUUAAUCAAAGUGUCUCUUG